UCGUCAGCUCGUGUCGUGAGAUGUUGGGUUAAGUCCCGCAACGAGCGCAACCCUUGCCUUUAGUUGCCAGCAUUAAGUUGGGCACUGUAGAGGGACUGCCGAGGAUAACUCGGAGGAAGGUGGGGAUGACGUCAAAUCAUCAUGCCCCUUAUGCUUAGGGCUACACACGUGCUACAAUGGGUGGUACAGAGGGUUGCCAAACCGUGAGGUGGAGCUAAUCCCUUAAAGCCAUUCUCAGUUCGGAUUGUAGGCUGAAACUCGCCUACAUGAAGCUGGAGUUACUAGUAAUCGCAGAUCAGAAUGCUGCGGGGAAUGCGUUCCCGGGUCUUGUACCCCCCCCCCGUCCCCCCAUGGGAGUUGGGGGCGCCCGAAGCCGGUUAGCUAACCUUUUAGGAGGCAACCGUCGAAGGUGAAACCAAUGACUGGGGUGAAGUCGUACCAAGGUAACCGUA
rnacentral:rRNA from 1 species